UGGGGAAUAUUGCACAAUGGGCGCAAGCCUGAUGCAGCCAUGCCGCGUGUGUGAAGAAGGCCUUCGGGUUGUAAAGCACUUUCAGCGGGGAGGAAGGCGUUAAGGUUAAUAACCUUGGCGAUUGACGUUACCCGCAGAAGAAGCACCGGCUAACUCCGUGCCAGCAGCCGCGGUAAUACGGAGGGUGCAAGCGUUAAUCGGAAUUACUGGGCGUAAAGCGCACGCAGGCGGUCUGUCAAGUCGGAUGUGAAAUCCCCGGGCUCAACCUGGGAACUGCGUUCGAAACUGGCAGGCUAGAGUCUUGUAGAGGGGGGUAGAAUUCCAGGUGUAGCGGUGAAAUGCGUAGAGAUCUGGAGGAAUACCGGUGGCGAAGGCGGCCCCCUGGACAAAGACUGACGCUCAGGUGCGAAAGCGUGGGGAGCAAACAGG
rnacentral:rRNA from 1 species